GACGAACGCUGGCGGCGUGCCUAAUACAUGCAAGUCGAGAGAAGAGGCGGAUGGGUGAGUAAGGCGUGGGUAACCUGCACGUAAGUCUGGGAUAGCAUUUGGAAACAGAUGCUAAUAACGGAUACAAAAGGAUGGAACGGCGAUGCAUUAGCUAGUUGGUAAGGUAACGGCUUAACAAGGCGAUGAUGCAUAGCCGAGUUGAGAGGCUGUUCGUCCACAUUGGUACUGAGACACGGCCCCAACUCCUACGGGAGGCAGCAGUAGGGAAUCUUCCACAAUGUACGAAAGUCUGAUGGAGCAACGCCGCGUGAGUGAAGCAGGUUUUCGGAUCGUAAAGCUCUGUUGUUUGUGAAGCGGUAUUCAACCAGAAAGUCACGGCUAACUACGUGCCAGCAGCCGCGGUAAUUC
rnacentral:rRNA from 1 species